UACGUAGGGCGCAAGCGUUGUCCGGAAUUAUUGGGCGUAAAGAGCUCGUAGGCGGUUUGUCGCGUCUGCUGUGAAAACUCGAGGCUCAACCUCGGGCUUGCAGUGGGUACGGGCAGACUAGAGUGCGGUAGGGGUGACUGGAAUUCCUGGUGUAGCGGUGGAAUGCGCAGAUAUCAGGAGGAACACCGAUGGCGAAGGCAGGUC
rnacentral:rRNA from 1 species